rnacentral:lncRNA from 1 species
CAUCAUGGUGAGGACAGCAGGUGAAAAGGUGGAGAGAGCCUGGACUUUAAUGACCUCACUGGGCCACUGAACCAACCCUUGAAAAUUCCUCUGGACUUCUUAGAAAAGAGGAGAAUAAAUAUCCUUAUUGUUUAAGGCAUUUUUAGUUGGGAGUUCUCUGCCAAAUUUGAAACAGCUGAAAGUAUCCUAAAAGAUAUUUCCAAUUUAGUCUCAGAGAGCCCUGCAUACAAGUUGCUGUGUUAUUAAAAUGGAAACUCGGUUUUCUUAUACCUUACCCAACUGUGGAGAGGGAGACGUCCUACUGAUGGUAACAACUAUUACUUUUUUCCCAGCUCUGGUCCCCACCCGCAUGGAGCAGGACCUCCUGUGGUGACAUCCCCCUUCCCUCCACCACAAAGUCUCACCCAGUUAUUUCUCAUAGUCUUCAGGGUUGUCUCAAGUGAGCUCGUAUCUGCUUCUCGUGAAGCCUCUUGAUGGUACAUCUUCAAAUUAUCUCCCCUCCUUGUUAAUGCGGGAAGAGCACUGAAGUGGGAAUGAAGAGAUUUGCUUCUUGUCUAGACUCUGCCAUUGACCCACAAAAUGGCCUUGGAUAAUCCCCUUCCUCCUGCUGGGCUCCAGCUGCCAUCUGGACCGUGAUGAGCUCCUGGAGCACUGCAUCGGGAGGGCUGCCGGUCCCUGCCAACUAGACACAGAGGGAAAUUGGCUCCAAAACUGGAACAAGCUUCAAAUCCUGUUCUGGGAAGACCAGGGCUGGGAAAGGGGUGGCUUGGGGCUGGUUCCCUCCUGCACUGACACGGAGGAGCUGGAAGGCCAUGCCCUGCCUGGGAUGCAGCCUG